UUAAUUUAUUAUUCGAUGAUGUUGUAGGUGAUAAAUCAAACUGAACGAUGAGAAAUGUUAUUUGAAGUGGUGUUGUGUUCUCUGUUUACAUUAGGAAAUAAAUAAAUCCAGUUGAGUGCAUUCAAACGAAUCCAUUCACCAACUGUCGAAAUAAAUAUUGGAGCGGACCACAGAAGUAUUUCCAAAAAUCGUCAAUGGGAAAAGAAUGCAGCGUUGAAAGAACGUGGCAAAACCAACGUGGAAUUUUCGUCUUAUCAAUUCAGAACGUCCUGUCUGCAUUUGUUUAUAUCGACAAUAUCGCUUCGAUAUAGAAUUUCUUCGCAUUUGGUCACGAUACCAAGAAUGAUGACGAUGCAGCCAUUCAGCCUAUCAAUGGAUGUUUUCAAGUUUAACAAGAGAAUUGGGCGGUAUUAUGUUGAAUUAUUUUGAAUUAAGUUACCUUAGGACAAUCUUUGAUGUAGUGUCCCUUUUGGAAACAUAGAUGGCACAGG